rnacentral:rRNA from 1 species
AUUGAACGCUGGCGGCAGGCUUAACACAUGCAAGUCGAACGAGCGGCGGACGGGAGAGUAAUGUAUGGGGAUCUGCCUGAUGGAGGGGGAUAACUACUGGAAACGGUAGCUAAUACCGCAUACCAUCAGAUGAACCCAUAUGGGAUUCGCUUGUAGGUGAGGUAACGGCUAACCUAGGCGACGUUCCCUAGCUGGGCUGAGCGGAUGAUCAGCCGCACUGGGACGGAGAAACGGCCCAGCCUCCUACGGGAGGCAGCAGUGGGGAUUAUUGCACAAUGGGCGCAAGCCUGAUGCAGCCCUGCCGCGUGUAUGAAGAAGGCCUUCGGGUUGUAAAGUACUUUCAGUCGGGAGGCGUUACCGACAGAAGAAGCACCGGCUAACUACGUGCCAGCAGCCGCGGUAAUAC